GACGAACGCUGGCGGCGUGCUUAACACAUGCAAGUCGAACGAUGAAGUUCCUUCGGGAAUGGAUUAGUGGCGAACGGGUGAGGAACACGUGAGAAACCUGCCUUUCAUUUUGGGAUAACUCCGGGAGACCGGGGCUAACACCGAAUACUCCGUCUCGGCGGCAUCGCUGAGCCGGGAAAAGAUUUUGAUGAAAGAUGGUCUCGCGGCCUAUCAGCUAGUUGGUGAGGUAAUGGCUCACCAAGGCAACGACGGGUAGCCGGCCUGAGAGGGCGACCGGCCACACUGGGACUGAGACACGGCCGAGACUCCUACGGGAGGCAGCAGUGGGGAAUAUUGGGCAAUGGGCGCAAGCCUGACCCAGCGACGCCGCGUGAGGGAUGAAGGCCUUCGGGUUGUAAACCUCUUUCAGUAGGGAGGAAGCGAAAGUGACGGUACCUAAAGAAGAAGCACCGGCUAACUAUGUGCCAGCCGCCGCCGUAA
rnacentral:rRNA from 1 species